GAUGAACGCUGGCGGCGUGCCUAAUACAUGCAAGUCGAGCGAACGGACGAGAAGCUUGCUUCUCUGAUGUUAGCGGCGGACGGGUGAGUAACACGUGGAUAACCUACCUAUAAGACUGGGAUAACUUCGGGAAACCGGAGCUAAUACCGGAUAAUAUUUUGAACCGCAUGGUUCAAAAGUGAAAGACGGUCUUGCUGUCACUUAUAGAUGGAUCCGCGCUGCAUUAGCUAGUUGGUAAGGUAACGGCUUACCAAGGCAACGAUGCAUAGCCGACCUGAGAGGGUGAUCGGCCACAAUGGAACUGAGAAACGGUCCAGACUCCUACGGGAGGCAGCAGUAGGGAAUCUUCCGCAAUGGGCGAAAGCCUGACGGAGCAACGCCGCGUGAGUGAUGAAGGUCUUCGGAUCGUAAAACUCUGUUAUUAGGGAAGAACAUAUGUGUAAGUAACUGUGCAAAUCUUGACGGUACCUAAGCAGAAAGCCACGGCUAACUACGU
rnacentral:rRNA from 1 species